UCCGAAUUUUAUUUAAAUUAGUAAAUCUUAAGCGUAACACUAUUUGAACCAAAAAUGAUUUUACAACAUCUAGGGUAAACGGUACAGUUACUAGACACUGAAGCAAUUGUGUUUAUUUUAUGAAUAAUCUCACCGUUUUACAAAAAAAAAAUAUUUUAACGAAAAACACGCUGAAAAGUAUAGUCAUUGGACACGUGAACGAUUAGAACGAUUAAAAAUGGAUUAUUAUUGUUUGAAACUCAUAAACUUUUUAUAACUAUAUUUGUACAUAUUUCAAAAUGAAAUAUUAUUAUUAUAUUUACGUUUUGAAAAGUUUAAUUCUUAACUAAAUUUGUAAGAAAAUUCGCUUUUAUACACACAUAGUAAAGCACAACAAACACGUUUUUGACAUAAAUAUUGCAGAUUAGCCGGUAAAGAAGGGAUUAUACGCAUGCGCAAAGUUGUUUUUGGAGACUGACAAAAUUUUAAACGAUUCUUUGAAGAACUUCGAAGGGUUCUUAACGUUGCAUCUGAUCUGGCAAAUGGUUCUUUAAUAGAACCUGAAAAUAAGCUUCUUUUGAGUACCCGAAAUAAUUUUGCUAAAAAUCUUUUGAAGAGCUUAACGUUAAUGCUAAUGAAGCACUGGCGAAGAUUCUUUAAAGAAAAUCCAAGACCGUAAAAUUCUUCAAAUAAAUCUUACGGUCUUUUGAACCGUUUAGAAACUGUUUUGGUCUUUUUUUCCAAUAAAAGCAAAGGCUUCAUUCUUAUUUGAAAAUCUAUUAAAAUAAAAUAAGAACUAUUCAAAAUUUCAUAAAACUACUCAAAUUAUUUGGAAACAACCUCUUAACAACAGUCUUUAAUAUGUCUUAUAUCUUUAAUAU